UAUAUGAGACAAUAUCUGAAAAAGUCGAUUUUCCAUGUCCCCAACUUCACCAGCAAUUAUUUUUUUAUUCAACCAUCUUUUUUGAAAAUUUCAAGUUUCAGUAUAAACUAAAUUAUAUAAUGCACCAACCCCUGACAAUUAAACACUCAUUCUUAUAUUUCUUCCAAUAAAAUAUUGUAAUUUAAAUGUUCAACCCCCCUAAAAUCAUGUUGUCCCCUGUGUUUUUUUGAAAACUAAAUCAUUCAAAUAAUAUCCAAAUUAAUUAAACAGGCGUCCGAUUCUCACAUAUAUGAUAUAUUAAUAUAAUAAACUUGCCCCUAAUUUGUCUUUUUAUAUUAUAACUAUAGCAUGUAAUAAAAUUUUGCAAAUUUUAAGAGAAAAAAAAUUUGUCCCCAGGGGUGAUUUCCCUCCUGUUACCACUGGGUUUUUUUACCUGUGGAAACGUUUACAAGACCAAGAGUUAUUUUCCCAUUAUGUAUUGUGAAGAGCAUCAUUUCCUGAAUGCAUUAGUACAAAGAAAUAGUUGGAAAGGCGGCCAGGUUUGAAAAUUCAAGCCCAUCCAAGGUAAGAAUUUAUAGAAAAAUACUUAUUGGUGUUCUAUCCUGUUAUAGCCUUUUCUUACACUUUCUGAGAAUAUUUUUAAGUGUGCACCACAAGCAUUAAGUGUGUUUUUAUAUCAUCUUUUUAAAAGUUAUAUGUCACAGGAAAUACACUUACAUUUAAUGUGAUAAAAAGGACAAAAACUAUCGCGUAAUUCCUUUCUGUUACGUUCUGUCAUGUUACCUGAUAAAAAGUAACAGCAUAACCAUCAUCAGUAACAGGAAGGAUGUUCAAGACAAUUUCACUGAAGAAUCGAAAAGUUAAUCUACUAUAUGCCAACCAUUUCAUUUAAUAUAAGUUAUCACCACCAUAUCAAAUAAAUUUCAAAAUAAUAUACAGUAUAUUGAAUAAAAAAAUAGGUUUUUUGCUUUUGAUAACAGCAGAGAACAUUGUGCAAUUCUAGUAUAGUAGAUAGUAACAGAAAGGAAUUUAUUUUAGAAUUUUUCAUUACCUAGGCAGAUUUUUCAUCUUGCAAAUACAGUUUCAAAGGAUAAAUGACAUUGUUUGCUGUUAUCUUCCAAUUGUGACCAAUUUAAAAUGAUGUAUUUUUCUUAAACUUUAAAAUAAAGCAGAAAAAUCCUUUCUGUUACCAACUCUGUCCUGUUACCGUUGUGCUGUUACUCAAGAUUCUUUCAUGUUACCGACAUAUUUGACUAUGGGUGCAUUUAUUGCAAAUAAAACUGGUUUUGGUUUUAGUUUAAGGUUUUGAACUGGUUUCCAAAACUAGUUUAGGUUUUAUCGAACUAGUUUGAAAAAUAAACCCAGUUCAGGCACAUUUAAACAAAUGGGUGGUUUCCUUGAACAAU
rnacentral:lncRNA from 1 species